UACGGAGGGUGCAAGCGUUAUCCGGAUUCACUGGGUUUAAAGGGUGCGUAGGCGGGUUGCUAAGUCCGUGGUGAAAUCUCCGAGCUUAACUUGGAAACUGCCAUGGAUACUAGUAGUCUUGAAUAUUGUGGAGGUAAGCGGAAUAUGUCAUGUAGCGGUGAAAUGCAUAGAUAUGACAUAGAACACCUAUUGCGAAGGCAGCUUACUACGCAGUUAUUGACGCUGAGGCACGAAAGCGUGGGGAUCAAACAGGAUUAGAUACCCUGGUAGUCCACGCCCUAAACGAUGAUUACUCGACGUGCGCGAUACACAGUGCGCGUCUGAGCGAAAGCAUUAAGUAAUCCACCUGGGAAGUACGACCGCAAGGUUGAA
rnacentral:rRNA from 1 species